GGCAGUGGUGGCUGGAUGGUUAAGACUCUGGGUUACUGAUCAGAAGGUCGGGGUUCAAGCCCCAGCACUGUCA